GGGUUUUCUAAUGAUCAAUUAGCCUUUUAAAAUGAUGAACUUGGAUUAGCUAACACAACGUGGCAUUGGAACACAGGAGUGAUGGUUGCUGAUAAUGGGCCUCUGUACGCCUAUGUAGAUAUUCCAUAAACAAUCAGCUGUUUCCAGCUACAAUAGUCAUUUACAACAUUAACAAUGUCUACACUGUAUUUCAGAUCAAUUUGAUGUUAUUUUAAUAGACAAAAAAUGUGCUUUUCUUUCAAAAACAAUGACAUUUCUAAGUGACCAUAAACUAUUGAACGGUAGUGCAUGUAUUAAAAUACCCUCAAAUAAAAGGUGACAUUAUAUACUGUCACCUCAUAUGAAACAUUUGAUCUCAAAUCCAAAAUGCUGGAGUAUAAAGCCACAUUUAAAAUGUUAUCUUCACUGUCAACAUAGAUAUGAUGUGGACUGUAUACUCAAUACAAUCUAAAUCUGAUACCUCACUGUCUGUCUUUUGACUGAUACUGCUUUUAAACUGGUCUGGUCAGUCUACUCAAAUAUUUGUAAUAUGCAUUUUUCUAUCUACAAGAAAUACUUUGAUAAUUUUUCAUUUAUAAUAAUGAUACAUUAAUUUAUUAUUAGAUAUGGCAGGUUUCAGGACACUGAUAUAUCUGAAUAUGUUGAAGAAAUAUACUGCCACUUUUUUCACCACCAAAGAAUAUCAGUGUGAUUUUAAUAUGAUUUGACUCUUUGCAGGCUGUCAGGCUGUCUAAUCACAGAGGAAGGCUGUGAUUCUCUGGUCUCAGCUCUGAGGUCAAACCCCUCACACCUGAGAGAGCUGGACCUGAGUAACAAUGACCUGAAGGAUUCAGGAGUGAAGCUGCUUUCUGCUGGACUAGAGGAUCAACACUGCAGACUGGAAACUCUGAGGCUGUCAGGCUGUCAAGUCACAGAGGAAGGCUGUGCUUCUCUGGUCUCAGCUCUGAGGUCAAACCCCUCACACCUGAGAGAGCUGGACCUGAGCUACAAUCACCCAGGAGACUCAGGAGUCAGACUGCUCUCUGCUGGACUGGAGGAUCCACACUGCAGACUGGAGAAACUCAAUGUGGAACAUGGUGGAGAGUACACAAUGAGACCUGGGCUUAGACAAUGUGAGUGUUGACUGCUGUGAAGAUUAUGACUAAGAAUAAGUCUUAAUUCAAGUUAAGUCAAAGUCAAAGACCACCAUCAUUACUGACUUGGUCAUAUUAAAUAUCAGCUGUAGUUCUACAGAAACAGAAAUCAGGGACACCAAAGUUUACAAAGAGUUGCUUUGACAAUGUGUGUGUGUGUGUGUGUGUGUGUGUGUG